rnacentral:rRNA from 1 species
AAACUGGGAUUAGAUACCCCACUAUGCCUAGCCGUAAACUUUUAAUUACCCCUCCCCAUCGCCCGGGAACUACGAGCCAAGCUUAAAACCCAAAGGACUUGACGGUACCCCAUAUCCACCUAGAGGAGCCUGUCCUAUAAUCGAUAACCCCCGUUUAACCUCACCACUUUUAGCUAAUCAGCCUGUAUACCUCCGUCGUCAGCUUACCACGUGAGCGAUAUAUAAGUGAGCUUAAUGUCCACUCGCCACUACGUCAGGUCAAGGUGCAGCAAAUAAAAUGGAAAGAGAUGUGCUACACUUUCUAGAAUAGAAAACACGAAAGAUUACUUAUGAAACCUAAUCAGAAGGCGGAUUUAGUAGUAAAAAAAAGAUCAGAAAACUAUUUUUAACCUGGCACUGGGGUGUGUACACACCGCCCGUCACCCUCUUCAAAGCUUAUAAACAGUUACUAACCAACCGCUGCUAUACAGAAGAGGCAAGUCGUAACAUGGUAAGUAUACCGGAAGGUGUGCUUGGAAA